AAUCCCUUAUCGAGGAUCAAUUGGAGGGCAAGUCUGGUGCCAGCAGCCGCGGUAAUUCCAGCUCCAAUAGCGUAUAUUAAAGUUGUUGCAGUUAAAAAGCUCGUAGUUGGAUUUGUGGCGUACGGUGUGUUCCGGGCACUUGUUGUCUGAGUAACCUGCUGUUGCCAUCCUUGGGUGGAACCUGUGUGGCAUUAGGUUGUCGUGCAGGGGAUGCCCAUCAUUUACUGUGAAAAAAUUAGAGUGUUCAAAGCAGGCUUAUGCCGUUGAAUAUAUUAGCAUGGAAUAAUGAGAUAGGACUUUUUUGCUAUUUUGUUGGUUUGCGCAAAGAGGUAAUGAUUAAUAGGGACAGUUGGGGGUAUUCGUAUUCCAUUGUCAGAGGUGAAAUUCUUGGAUUUUUGGAAGACGAACUACUGCGAAAGCAUUUACCAAGGAUGUUUUCAUUAAUCAAGAACGAAAGUUAGGGGAUCGAAGAUGAUUAGAUACCAUCGUAGUCUUAACCAUAAACUAUGCCGACAAGGGAUUGGUGGAGUCUCGUUAUGUCUCCAUCAGCACCUUAUGAGAAAUCACAAGUCUUUGGGUUCCGGGGGGAGUAUGGUCGCAAGGCUGAAACUUAAAGGAAUUGACGGAAGGGCACCACCAGGAGUGGAGCCUGCGGCUUAAUUUGACACAACACGGGAAAACUUACCAGGUCCAGACGUAGUGAGGAUUGACAGAUUGAGAGCUCUUUCUUGAUUCUAUGGGUGGUGGUGCAUGGCCGUUCUUAGUUGGUGGAGUGAUUAGUCUGGUUAACUCCGUUAACGAACGAGACCACUGCCUGCUAAAUAGCCCAGUGAGUGAAUCUUCACUGACUGCUGGCUUCUUAGAGGAACGUGCAUUCUAUCAGAUGCAGGAGGAUAGUGGCUAUAACAGGUCUGUGAUGCCCUUAGAUGUCCUGGGCCGCACGCGCGCUACACUGAUGCAGUCAACGAGUUUUACCUUGGCCGAGAGGCCUGGGCAAUCUUUUAAACCUGCAUCGUGAUAGGGAUAGAUUAUUGCAAUUAUUAAUCUUGAACGAGGAAUUCCUAGUAAACGCAAAUCAUCAAUUUGCAUUGAUUACGUCCCUGCCCUUUGUACACACCGCCCGUCGCACCUACCGAUUGAAUGGUCCGGUGAAGCCUCGGGAUUGUGGCCAGUUCACUUUAUUGGGAGUUGGCUGCGAGAACUUGUCUAAACCUUAUCAUUUAGAGGAAGGUGAAGUC
rnacentral:rRNA from 1 species